CGGAGAUGAGGUGCUUGCACCUUAUCUUAGCGGCGGACGGGUGAGUAAUGCUUAGGAAUCUACCUAUUAGUGGGGGACAACGUUUCGAAAGGAACGCUAAUACCGCAUACGUCCUACGGGAGAAAGCAGGGGACCUUCGGGCCUUGCGCUAAUAGAUGAGCCUAAGUCGGAUUAGCUAGUUGGUGGGGUAAAGGCCUACCAAGGCGACGAUCUGUAGCGGGUCUGAGAGGAUGAUCCGCCACACUGGGACUGAGACACGGCCCAGACUCCUACGGGAGGCAGCAGUGGGGAAUAUUGAACAAUGGGGGGAACCCUGAUCCAGCCAUGCCGCGUGUGUGAAGAAGGCCUUUUGGUUGUAAAGCACUUUAAGCGGGGAGGAGGCUACUUAGAUUAAUACUCUAGGAUAGUGGACGUUACCCGCAGAAUAAGCACCGGCUAACUCUGUGCCAGCAGCCGCGGUAAUACAGAGGGUGCGAGCGUUAAUCGGAUUUACUGGGCGUAAAGCGUGCGUAGGUGGUUUUUUAAGUCGGAUGUGAAAUCCCUGAGCUUAACUUAGGUAUUGCAUUCGAUACUGGGAGACUAGAGUAUGGGAGAGGAUGGUAGAAUUCCAGGUGUAGCGGUGAAAUGCGUAGAGAUCUGGAGGAAUACCGAUGGCGAAGGCAGCCAUCUGGCCUAAUACUGACACUGAGGCACGAAAGCAUGGGGAGCAAACAGGAUUAGAUACCCUGGUAGUCCAUGCCGUAAACGAUGUCUACUAGCCGUUGGGGUCUUUGAGACUUUAGUGGCGCAGCUAACGCGAUAAGUAGACCGCCUGGGGAGUACGGUCGCAAGACUAAAACUCAAAUGAAUUGACGGGGGCCCGCACAAGCGGUGGAGUAUGUGGUUUAAAUUCGAUGCAACGCGAAGAACCUUACC
rnacentral:rRNA from 1 species